rnacentral:rRNA from 1 species
UACAGAGGGGGCAAGCGUUAUUCGGAAUUAUUGGGCGUAAAGGGCGCGUAGGCGGCUUUUCAAGUGACGGGUGAAAUCCCUCGGCUUAACCGAGGAACUGCCUGUCAGACUGGAAGGCUUGAGACCGGGAGAGGUGAGUGGAAUUCCCAGUGUAGCGGUGAAAUGCGUAGAUAUUGGGAGGAACACCAGUGGCGAAGGCGGCUCACUGGACCGGAACUGACGCUGAGGCGCGAAAGCGUGGGGAGCGAUCCGG